rnacentral:rRNA from 1 species
GAUGAACGCUAGCGGCAGGCCUAAUACAUGCAAGUCGGACGGGAUUGAGGAGCUUGCUUCUCAUGAGAGUGGCGCACGGGCGCGUAACACGUAUGUAACCUACCUUGUUCAGGGGGAUAGCCUCUCGAAAGAGAGAUUAAGACCGCAUAACGUAGGGAUGUGGCAUCAUAUUACUACCAAAUAUUUAUAGGAACAAGAUGGGCAUGCGGAACAUUAGCUAGUUGGUAAGGUAACGGCUUACCAAGGCUACGAUGUUUAGGGGAUCUGAGAGGAUUACCCCCCACACUGGUACUGAGACACGGACCAGACUCCUACGGGAGGCAGCAGUAAGGAAUAUUGGUCAAUGGACGGAAGUCUGAACCAGCCAUGCCGCGUGCAGGAAGACGGCCCUACGGGUUGUAAACUGCUUUUAUACGGGAAUAAACCUACUUACGUGUAAGUAGCUGAAUGUACUGUAAGAAUAAGGAUCGGCUAACUCCGUGCCAGCAGCCGCCGUAACAC